rnacentral:rRNA from 1 species
UACCCCUAGCAAAUCUCAAAAAACCGUCUCAGUUCGGAUUGUGCUCUGCAACUCGAGCACAUGAAGUUGGAAUCGCUAGUAAUCGCAGAUCAGCAUGCUGCGGUGAAUACGUUCCCGGGCCUUGUACACACCGCCCGUCACACCAUGGGAGUUGGCUUUACCUGAAGACGGUGCGCUAACCGCAAGGAGGCAGCCGGCCACGGUAGGGUCAGCGACUGGGGUGAAG